GUGGAUUAGAUACCCUGGUAGUCCUAGCUGUAAACGAUGUGAACUUGGCGUUGGUGGCUUAAACUCCAUCAGUGCCGCAGCUAACGCGAUAAGUUCACCGCCUGGGGACUACGGCCGCAAGGUUAAAACUCAAAGGAAUUGACGGGGGCCCGCACAAGCAGCGGAGCGUGUGGUUUAAUUCGAUGCUACACGAAGAACCUUACCCGGGUUUGACAUACAGGUGGUAGGGAUCCGAAAGGUGACCGACCCGCAAGGGAGCCUGAACAGGUGUUGCACGGCUGUCGUCAGCU
rnacentral:rRNA from 1 species